UCUGGACUUAUCUGGCUGUUGAAUUCCAGUACUAUUUCUUCUGCUUUCCUCCUUCUGGGACUUUAUUCCCCUCAUAUUGUUUUCUGUUCUUUUUUCAUUUUCUUUUGGGUGUAGGGAUUUCAGGCUUUGAUGUAAUGUUCUCUUUCAUUUUUUGGUGCAUUCCCAUGCUUGUCUUCGCUCAAUUUCUGCUCAAUCUAUUACAUAGUAAGAAAUCUCCUACGGAGAGUUGCCAUGGUGGUCCCCACAUUCUACCAUGAGGGAAGAACCCUUCUCUUCUUUUUCUAUUCUUUUCAUCCAACACGUUAAUCUUCUUUGGCUUUUCCUUCCUUUUUGUAUUCUUUUCUUUUUGUUUACCAAUCUUAAUAUUAUUCCAAAUUCUACUAGCUGAUGCCUCAAAAACCAUUUGAUGAAUAGGUUUACGCAUGAAUUUUGGAUGAGGGUGAAAAUGAUGAGGAAUUGAAAUUUUAUUCACCAAUAGAAAGGCGAUGAGAAGGUUGCGACAUAGUUAACCAGGGACUAAGUAUGUUAAUGGCCAUAAUUCUUAAAGCUUUGGGACCUUAUCCGGGGAGAGAUUAUGGAAGUGACGAUGAUUUCCAACCUGAAAGACUGCCGCUAUUGAAAAAUUAUGUCCCUCCACCUCCUCGUGUUGCUGGUGAUCAGAUCCAUGGGACCAAGAAUGAUUCUUCUAUUACAAGGAUUAACAGUAAGAUGAAUAAAAUUCUGACAUGACCGAAGUGGCAGAUGAUGAACAAUGGGAAGAGGUUGCCAGAUCUGAAGUAGCAACCUAAUAAUUUUCUUCUAUUGUUUUUGUAGUAUUGUUGAUUCUUGUGGUAAUUGAUAGAAUUCUUGUAGUUUAACAUGUAUAUAUAUGCUUUACAUUCUUGAUGGAACUAGUGAUAUAAACAUGAAACGUGGGGAUAGUGUCAUUUAAAAUACGAGUAUUCAAAUUGAAGGUAUGAUAUAUUUUAAUGUUGUAAUGCUAAAUAUUUAUGGUCUAAAUUGUGCAACAAUGUUUAUGAGAAAAA